ACUUCGUCAUGAAAGUUCUCUGUUCCGUAAUAUUUUACAGUACCCUCUUGGUCAAGUACAAUGCAUUCCGGGUUAAUGUCGGAAUUGUGAAGAACUCAUUGGAGCUAAUUCAACACACUUGCGACGAGCUCCAAGACGUGAACGAAAUAGAUAUUGUAAAGAAAUACGGAAACAUUGCGAGACGUUACACGGCCACAUUUACACUAGUCGGCAUCGUAAUAGUAAGUAUAAUUAUUUGCAUACCGAUUUGGCCUCGCAUCGUCGACAUCUUUCUGCCUAUGAAUGAAUCGAGACCACUUUUUAUGGCGCAUAUCAUGAUCGAGUACUUCAUCGAUCGAGAAAUGUAUUCCUAUUUGGUCGUGCUGCACUCGAGCAUAGCUAUUUCUGUAGGAGCAAUAGUGGAAGUAGCGACGGGAACGAUGCUAAUAGGAUACUACAAACAUGUCUGCGCAAUGUUCAAAAUCGCCAGCUACCGUAUCGAGCAAGCGAUGAAGAUCAAUGCUCAACAAUACAUCGAUCCGAGGAGAGAAAUUACAAUUCUUAUGAUGAACAGGAUUAUUCAUGCCGUAGACAUUCAUCGGAAAGCUAUGAUGUCGGUCUGCCGAAUAUUUAAUAACCAAUUUCGAGGUAUCGUUCUUCAUUUUAAUCGCGCUCGGUGUGAUGUGCCUGAGUCUCAAUCUCUUUCGAGUGAGUCUCACACGUGGCUUACUUUCUAUAGUAUUUCCCGCUCUGAAUGUCUUUUCGCUAGAAUCUAUCUAACGCAUUUGCUCCUAAAUGAGAACUUCCGAUCCUAUUUAUAUUCCGAUAUUUCCGAAGAGUCUCAUCGCAACCGCACGAUAUUUCAGGUCUUUCAGAUAGUGUCGUUCGAGAAUGACACGAACGGGGUUUACUUACAUCUCAUAUACGUAAACAUCGUUCUUCUGUAUAUGUUCACAGCCAACUAUAUUGCACAGCAAAUCACGGAUUGCAACCAUGAUGUAUUCGUGACCGUAUAUAAUAUCCGGUGGUACACAGCGCCGUUGCAAAUACAAAAGACGAUAUUGUUUCUGUUGCAAAGAGGCACCAAACCGUUCAGUCUCACUCUCGGUGGACUGUUUGUGGCAUCUUUGAAAAGUGCUGCUACGGUACAAAAUCCAUUAAAAUAUAAUCGAAAUAGCGCGCUUCGGAAAGUCAGCAUUAAAGAGAAAAUCUUGCUCGUUACAGUUGGCGAGUACCUCCAUAUCUUACUUCAGUGUUCUUUACUCUACGCGACAUUGACGCGAGAAUUGUCAAGAAAUAAUGUAAUGAAGUAACGUUAGCGAGUAAAAUUUAAUUAGGCAUGAACGACAUUAGCCGUAAUCUAGACGGAAGAUUAAUUGACAUGAGGACAAAGUGUUGUAUCAAUUAAGAUACUAAGAAAAUAGUAUAUCAUAAGUGUUAAGGAGCGUAUGAGAAAACGUUGUUCUUAAUAAACAACAUUACAAUAAUUUCAGCUAAUAAAGAACAAAGAGGUGGCCGAGUAAAAUGAUAGAAACAAAGCUCAGCACCGUGUUCUAAUUCUCCAUGCCGUGAUCAUCAGAACUACGUUUAAUUACGGUUACUUUGUUUCUAGAUUUAUAGAUAGAUGCUCCAACAUGCGUUCGCAAAUAAAUUCGGUUCCUAUUCGGCACUUUAAGAACAUUUUCGUUUGAUGUCGGUGAGAUUAUCCAGCCGGUGCUACAAGUCGAUCAUUGCACCAUGCGCUAAUAUCGUACCUCUGUUUAUCCAUCUAAGAUACGCUAAUAAACCAGGCACAUCCGGCUCUUGAAGAUCGAAUGGAAUCAACGACCCUCUUUAAAAUUAACCCUUAGAAACUACUGGAAAUACGGUUCUAAUAACAAUCGAGACUUUGAACGCAUGUUAGGCGCGCAUACGGCGAUUGAUACUACGAGAUUUUAACGCGAAAAUACUUCAGAAAUAAAUCAACAUAUACAUACACACACACAUUUUACUCCUAUUACGCAAGAAAUCGUAAUAGAUCUUUCCUGUUGAAGAAACCAUAUACGCACAGCUGCGAAUCAUCUUAAUAAACGUAUUAAAAAAAUCGGAAAUUCUUUUCAAGAGAAUCGUGAGAAAAGUCGUGAUAAAAAAGUCGAAAAUGCAAUAAAGUCUCUGCCGUAGAUUUAUGAUGUAGAAUAAUUCGUGCUUUUAAAAUUUUAUAAAUAGCAAUAUAGUAAUUCUUUAUUGCACGACAAGCGUAAACGUAAAAUUGUAAAUAAAUUGUCAUCUAUUCUAUCACGAAUACAAAAUGUGUGUAAAAUUGAGCUUUAUAUAUACGAUGCCGUAAUAUAAACGCAUUCUAUCAUAGUGCAAACAAAUCUUAUCGCUUCAAUGUUUUCAAAUGUUUAUUGCCUGUCGUGUGUUUCAUAUCUAUUUUUUUAAGCCUUACGAUUGCUUUUUAUGACAAUAUCACGCGACGAAUUAAAUAAAAAGAGCUCGCAUAGCAAAAUACAUCGUCAGUUUCAGUAAGGAAGGAGUGGAGUAUUUUGCAUAAUCUCCUAUAAUAUCCGAUUUUUACUGAAAAAGUUCGAUUAAAAGUUCAUCUUUCGAAGUCAUGGAGAAUAAGCAAAUAAGCGGACUUCUGAUCAUGUGUCUCUUAUUAUCGAAUCUUAUGUCGAUUCUUUGCGACAACGACAACGAUAAGACAACACCGAUAUGUCCUCCGAAUUCAGUAUACAUCAAUGGAGAGUGUCGAUUCGAAUAUGGACAUAUAUAAAUGAAGGAAAUUAAAACGCCGGACAAUUGAGAAAAUAGAAAACUGCCGACGAAUCUUCCUGCAUUGCGGAUCACCGAAACACGGAAAUAUGAUUAUUUUGUUAAUUGAUUUACGAAAGUUCCGACAUAUGCGUGUAAAUAAGAUAAGAUUUGGCCGUUAUUUUAGCCAUUUUAAAGGCACUUUCGAUCGAGAUCUUCGCUGAGAUCUUCCAGCCGGUGCGGCGAAUUAAUCGUUGCACUUCGUGCUAACAUUGUACCUCUGUUUGUCCAUUUAAGAUACGCUAAUAAACCAGACACAUCCGGCUCUCGAA